rnacentral:rRNA from 1 species
UCCACCGAUUGACUAAGGUUUCCAGAGGAAGGCUCGUCCGCUCUGGGUUAGUCGGGUCCUAAGCUGAGGCCGACAGGCGUAGGCGAUGGAUAACAGGUUGAUAUUCCUGUACCACCUAUAAUCGUUUUAAUCGAUGGGGGGACGCAGUAGGAUAGGCGAAGCGUGCGAUUGGAUUGCACGUCUAAGCAGUAAGGCUGAGUAUUAGGCAAAUCCGGUACUCGUUAAGGCUGAGCUGUGAUGGGGAGAAGACAUUGUGUCUUCGAGUCGUUGAUUUCACACUGCCGAGAAAAGCCUCUAGAUAGAAAAUAGGUGCCCGUACCGCAAACCGACACAGGUAGUCAAGAUGAGAAUUCUAAGGUGAGCGAGCGAACUCUCGUUAAGGAACUCGGCAAAAUGACCCCGUAACUUCGGGAGAAGGGGUGCUCUUUAGGGUUAACGCCCAGAAGAGCCGCAGUGAAUAGGCCCAAGCGACUGUUUAUCAAAAACACAGGUCUCUGCUAAACCGUAAGGUGAUGUAUAGGGGCUGACGCCUGCCCGGUGCUGGAAGGUUAAGAGGAGUGGUUAGCUUCUGCGAAGCUACGAAUCGAAGCCCCAGUAAACGGCGGCCGUAACUAUAACGGUCCUAAGGUAGCGAAAUUCCUUGUCGGGUAAGUUCCGACCCGCACGAAAGGCGUAACGAUUUGGGCACUGUCUCAACGAGAGACUCGGUGAAAUCAUAGUACCUGUGAAGAUGCAGGUUACCCGCGACAGGACGGAAAGACCCCGUGGAGCUUUACUGUAGCCUGAUAUUGAAAUUCGGCACAGCUUGUACAGGAUAGGUAGGAGCCUUUGAAACGUGAGCGCUAGCUUACGUGGAGGCGCUGGUGGGAUACUACCC